rnacentral:tRNA from 1 species
GGCCAGAUAGCUCAGUUGGUAGAGCAGCGGAUUGAAAAUCCGCGUGUCCACAGUUCAAUUCUGUGUCUGGCCA